UUUUUUUUUUUUUUUUCUCCUCUGAGUGUUAUAGGGUUCAAAAACUAAGAAUUUUGAGUAAUUUUAUGGUAUAAUCUGGACAUACCAAGAUAGGUAUAUGUGUUAUUCCCAAAGCAAUCUGUACUGAGUCCCACUAUGGCCACUUUAUUGUGGUUGCCUGAUCAUUUGUGUAUUUGCCACCGGAUCAGAAGCUCAUUGAGGGAAGGAGCAGUACAUAAUUGAGGAAUGUGUGAAUCAUCUCAAGAAUUAAUCACUCUCUUUUAGCUUACCUCUGAGAGUCUGGUAUUCUAUGGAACUGAACUGUCCAGUACAGUAGCCACCAGCCACAUCCGACUACUGAGCCCUUGAAAUUUGGCUAGUCCAAGUUGAGAUCUCUAACCUCAGGGCAAGAUGCUUGGAAGUAGACCUGCUGACAUGACGCUACUACCUCAUCCAACAAUGUGAGUGAUUUGCAGCAGUUUGCCAGUGGCCUCAAGAGUUGGAAUGAGGAGACCAGGGCCAAAGCUGCCAAGGAGCUCUGAGAGAUGAGUCAGGAGGAGUCUACUUGCUUCUAUGAUCAGCUGAAACAUCACAUUUUGAAUUGGUCUCCAGUUCAGAUGCCAAUGAGAGGAAAGGUGGCAUCUUGGCCAUAGAUGAGGAAAUAGAAUCCAGAAAGGCCAAAUGACCUGACCAAAGUUACAUGUUAGUUCUGCAAGACUGAGUGGGACUAGAACCCAGAUAUCUUGACUCUUAAAUCAGUGCUCUUUCCACUAUCCCAUGAAAGCCUUCAAAAGCAACAUGCUGGUAAAGACACUCUAAAAAAGAAAAACAAAGUGGGAGGACUUACACUCCCUGACUUUGAAGCUUAUUAUAAAGCCACAGUUGUCAAAACAGCAUGGUACUGGCACAAAGAUAGACAUAUUGAU